rnacentral:lncRNA from 1 species
CCGGAGACUGCGGAGGUCUCAGGGAAUGUAGCCCCAUCGGGCCAGGUUCGUUUCACUGAGCCCUGGGUCUGAGGGCGAAGCCCUGCUGUGGACCUUCUGAUGAACAUAAAUGCAUCCUGACCACAACCAGCCAAGAGCCCUCCCUGGAUCCUGCCAGCUCUGUGGUCCCUGAUGAAGAUGUAGCUCUCAGCCCUGAUGAUGCAGCUCCCGUGCCCUGCCUGCCUGCCUGCCGCUCAACUCCCUAUCAUACUGUUCAUAGACUUACCC